GACGAACGCUGGCGGCGUGCUUAACACAUGCAAGUCGAACGCUGAAGCUCAGCUUGCUGGGUGGAUGAGUGGCGAACGGGUGAGUAACACGUGAGUAACCUGCCCUCUUCUUUGGGAUAACGCCCGGAAACGGGUGCUAAUACUGGAUAUUCACUGAUUCUCGCAUGGGGGUUGGUGGAAAGGUUUUUUCUGGUGGGGGAUGGGCUCGCGGCCUAUCAGCUUGUUGGUGGGGUGAUGGCCUACCAAGGCUUUGACGGGUAGCCGGCCUGAGAGGGUGACCGGUCACAUUGGGACUGAGAUACGGCCCAGACUCCUACGGGAGGCAGCAGUGGGGAAUAUUGCACAAUGGGCGAAAGCCGGAUGCAGCGACGCCGCGUGAGGGAUGGAGGCCUUCGGGUUGUAAACCUCUUUCGCUCAUGGUCAAGCCGCAGCGUUGGGUUGUGGUGAGGGUAGUGGGUAAAGAAGCGCCGGCUAACUACGUG
rnacentral:rRNA from 1 species